rnacentral:rRNA from 1 species
AUUGAACGCUGGCGGCAGGCUUAACACAUGCAAGUCGAGCGGGGGGAGGUAGCUUGCUACCGGACCUAGCGGCGGACGGGUGAGUAAUGCUUAGGAAUCUGCCUAUUAGUGGGGGACAACAUCUCGAAAGGGAUGCUAAUACCGCAUACGUCCUACGGGAGAAAGCAGGGGAUCUUCGGACCUUGCGCUAAUAGAUGAGCCUAAGUCGGAUUAGCUAGUUGGUGGGGUAAAGGCCUACCAAGGCGACGAUCUGUAGCGGGUCUGAGAGGAUGAUCCGCCACACUGGGACUGAGACACGGCCCAGACUACUACGGGAGGCAGCAGUGGGGAAUAUUGGACAAUGGGGGGAACCCUGAUCCAGCCAUGCCGCGUGUGUGAAGAAGGCCUUAUGGUUGUAAAGCACUUUAAGCGAGGAGGAGGCUCUUUUGGUUAAUACCCAAGAUGAGUGGACGUUACUCGCAGAAUAAGCACCGGCUAACUCUGUGCCAGCAGCAGCCGCCG